GGUAAGUGGCUCAGUGGUAGAGCUCUUGCCUUGCAUGCAUGAGGCCCUGGGUUCGAUUCCUUAGCACCA
rnacentral:tRNA from 1 species